CCUACGGGAGGCAGCAGUGGGGAAUAUUGGGCAAUGGGCGCAAGCCUGACCCAGCAACGCCGCGUGAAGGAAGAAGGCUUUCGGGUUGUAAACUUCUUUCAAGAGGGAAGAGCAGAAGACGGUACCUCUUGAAUCAGUCACGGCUAACUACGCGCCAGCAGCCGCGGUAACACGUAGGUGGCAAGCGUUGUCCGGAUUUACUGGGUGUAAAGGGCGUGCAGCCGGGAAGACAAGUCAGGUGUGAACUCCCGGGGCUCAACCGCGGAACUGCCUUUGAAACUGUUUAUCUGGAGUGCCGGAGAGGUCAUCGGAAUUCCUUGUGUAGCGGUGAAAUGCGUAGAUAUAAGGAAGAACACCAGUGGCGAAGGCGGAUGACUGGACGGCAACUGACGGUGAGGCGCGAAAGCGUGGGGAGCAAACAGGAUUAGAUACCCGAGUAGUC
rnacentral:rRNA from 1 species